UGUUGGCAAAAACACAAAACAUGAACUAAACAAUGACUACAGCGAACCAAAACACACAGACACAAUCUGAGGGUACAACACGACAAUGGCACAGAGAAACACGGGGCUUAAAUACACUGAGGAAGUCAUCAAGGAUCUCCCAGGAUACACAGACACACACACACACUUCUUUUCCACCCACAUGGUGCUGAUGGAAAAUCAGUUCCUACUUCUAAAACCAGCCAACAUUUUAUUGGUUAUUAUGAAACAUCACUAACAGACUGUUUUAAUCUUCACGAGAAUCUCCAUUACAUAGAAACUACAACAGUGUCAGCGUCGGCAGAGGUAGUAAGGGAUUGUUGUUGCCUUUGUUAUUAUCCGCUUCUUUGGAGACACACAUAAAACUUCAAUAACUGAAAACAUAAAAUAGAUCUGGACACAGAUGAGGGUCUGUAAGGAUUUUCAGUGUUUUAUUUCUGAGCUGGAUUCCUUCAAUGUAGCUAAACCAACAGGAAGACUUUGAUCAAUAAUGGAUUAACAGAAUGUUGAGAGCAUCAAAUGAGCACUAAUAAUAAAAAAGAAUAUUAAUAAUGUUUGCAGUCUGAAGCUGUUGCACUUUGUCAGGUUUGGUUUUCACUUCUUUUGUUUGGGAUCAAAUUAAAAUUAUUCAGGAAUCAAGCAGGUGUGGCUACUAACCUGUCAUACCGGUCCAUGUUGUGACAUAAAACGGCUACAGGGAACUACAGGUGCAUUUCCUGAUAUGUGGCUGUAAGGUAACGUGGUAACGUCCACUUUACCUUUAGAUUUUUAACUUAUGUUUUAUCUUUUGACUUUUAAUUCAUGAACUUUUUACCUUUUAAAAUCUUUUUUUUGCUCGAGUAGAAUACAAUAUAAUGAGGUUCCAUUUGACCCACUGAAAAAGAAGACAGGAGUAUACUGACCUUGAAUGUUUUUAUCUUUGUGGAUAAUUUUUUCAUCAUGACGAUCAGAAGACUUUUUGAGGGUUUCACAGAUGCCAUCAGAACGACAACCAGAAAAUCAUCACCGCUGAGUCUGGACAGAACAUCACUCUGCCAUGUCGAGCUCCAAACAACAACAUCAUAGUUGUAAAGUGGAGCAGAGCUGACCUGAAGCCACAAUAUGUGCUUUUGUUCCAGAUGACCAGCAUCCAUCAUUUAAGAACCGGGUGGAUCUGCAGGACAGACAGAUGAAGGAUGGAGACGUGUCUUUGAUUCUGAAGAAUGUGACGACUGCUGAUAAUGGGACAUACGAGUGCCAUGUCGUCCAGGGAGUCAAACAACCUUUGAAGCUCAUCACCAGCUUCUACCUGAGUGUUGUUGUUCCUCCAGGUCAGACAGGAGGACAACCAGGGGAUGGACCUGUUGGACUGAUAGUUGCUCUGAGUGUUUCUGCUGUGCUUCUUGUUGCUGUUGUUGGUUUUUGAUAUACAUAAAACAUAAAAAGACAGAGAGUCAUGUCUCACACAGGCCUGCUGUUGAUCAGCAGCUGUUUGAAACAUCAGACUGAUCUAGUGAUGUUUUCUGUGUUGUUGGAGAAGUAGAAACAAAGAAACAAUAGACAAAAAUGCAUGAUGCUAAACAUCAAUCAAACAUGUUCACAAUUAACAUUACAACUGUAAAAUAAGAAUAACCACAGACAAACAGCAGCAGACAUAUUUACUUCACCAUUCAUUCCCCUACCAGGCCUAACCUAAGUCUCAGCUAAUAUCCUGUAAUCAGUAUUGGGACACUCAAAAAAGUAAUAUACUGCACAUUAGUCAUCAUCUUUCCUUGAUUUCAUACCGAAGAAAGUAAUUUGUUACAUCUGUUUUGCAUUACUCUGCAAAAUGACCUGGAACUCAUUGUCUAAAAGUGAUAAGUUAAAAAUAUAAACCUGAGGAUAAAAUGAGGAUAAGAUGAAAUUAGCUGAUUGCAUCACAGGUUCUCAUAACAAAAAUAACAUAUGAAUUUUUUUGUUCUCUUCUGCCUGUCCAACAUGUGUGCAGAUUAAUGACCUCUUGUAGUAACAACAAAUAAUGUAAUUACUGAAUUUAGUACGGUCACAUGUUACAUUACUGAUUUACAGAAAAAUGCACUGUGAUUACUUUAAUGCAUUACUUUGGAACACCGAGCACUGGCUGUAACUGAGGGAUAGAUAACCAAGAAGCUAAAACAAACAUUUCAAUCCAUUGCAAAUGACCACAGCAGAUCUUUUCAAGCUCUGCAAUCAAUCUACACACUGCAAACAAAUUGAGUCAUGAUAUUACUAAAGGCUUUUACACAUAGAGUGAAUUGCGGAAAAGAAAACAUGAAAAUGAACUAAUGUCCACAUCAAGCACUAUGAGCUGGUCUUGAUGUUUCAAAACAAUAAGAGGAAGAAACUUAACAGUUUUGAAAACACUAACUACAACUAAAACAGUAACACAAAUAUCAUGCACAUGUGAACACACCGAAAUAUCCAAAGACACAUGUUAAAUGAAGAACCUUUUGGACCCACCUUUAAAAGAACAAACAGUAAAAACCCACCACAACAAAUCAAACCCACUCCCACCAGAGUGAGACCAUCACCUCCUGAAGUUUCCACAGAACAACAAAACCUGUUUGCCAAGAACACAGCAGAGAGCAGAAAUCUGCACCACUUACAUCACAUUUCUGUGAUUAUCAUCAAACCUGUUCAGACUGUGUUAGUGUUUCUCUGUUCUCUCUGUGAAUUACAGUGUUUGUUCGUCUUCAGUAUUUUCAUGGAUCUGUUUUAUAUAAUCUCAGUAAUUUUGCUUCUGUGUACUGUAUGUAAAAAGUAAUACUAAUUAUAAAACAGCAGCUGUUUGUAAGAUCAAACAUGUUGUGUGAGGUUUGGACAGCACAAACUGAUCCUCAUGCAGAGAUCAGAUGUUACAGUAUAUCUACAGACACUCACUGAACCAAAAGUAUAAACACCGUAGAAGAGGCCUUUUAGAUUAUAGAUAAUCAGUCAUCUGUUUAAUAGUGUUCGAUUCAUUGAAGGGAUAACACUAAAUGACAUCUAGCUCAUCACACGUUGUUAUUACAGUGUUAUAAACCCAAAGAGCUCAAUAAGUUUCAUAUACCAGCAGAGUCUGAUAUUUCUGAUCCAUAAUGAUUUAACAUUUCCUUCCAUGAACUAAACUCUGCAGUUUGUUAUUUCAUUUCAAGCGCUUUUCGGAUAUUGUGUAUCUUUUUUUAUCUUUUAUAUUAGAUUUUUUUUAAUUAAUGACUAAGGCUUAAUACUGCAUCUGUUACCAUUUCUUAUGUCAGUCUUUAUUAAUAUGUUUGUUUUCUAACAGUUUACAUAAUAUGUCAUUUCACUUGCUAUCAAAACUACUAUCACUAUACAAUCUAUAAUCUAUUUAAUCACUACAUUAAAUAUACUGCAUUAGCACUAUUGCUGUAUUUAGACAGUUAUAAAACAUUUAAAAGCUUAUAUGUUGUGUUAAUGUGCUUGGUAUUUUUUGCUGUGCGCUGUGUUUGAGAUCCUUUUUCUAAGCCUUUCUGCACAACCAGCAUGUAUUCUGUUUUCAUCCAGACAAUAAACUGCAGCACUAAAAGAUAAAAAAAAAUGUAUGUUGUUUAUCUAAAAAUAAAAAACUCACUUUGCAUAACAUAAUAAUGAAAAAGCAGUACUGUAACAGGUAACCCU